UGACAGUACUCUACGGGGAGGCAGCAGUGGGGGAAUAUUGCACAAUGGGCGCAAGCCUGAUGCAGCCAUGCCGCGUGUGUGAAGAAGGACCUUCGGGUUGUAAAGCACUUUCAGUCGUGAGGAAGGUAGUGUAGUUAAUAGCUGCAUUAUUUGACGUUUAGCGACAGAAGAAGCACCGGCUAACUCCGUGCCAGCAGCCGCGGUAAUACGGAGGGUGCGAGCGUUAAUCGGAAUUACUGGGCGUAAAGCGCAUGCAGGUGGUUUGUUAAGUCAGAUGUGAAAGACCCGGGGCUCAACCUCGGAAUAGCAUUUGAAACUGGCAGACUAGAGUACUGUAGAGGGGGGUAGGAAUUUCAGGUGUAGUCGGUGAAAUGCGUAGAGAUCUGAAGGAAUACCGGUGGCGAAGGCGGCCCCCUGGACAGAUACUGACACUCAGAUGCGAAAGCGUGGGGAGCAAACAGGAUUAGAUACCCUGGUAG
rnacentral:rRNA from 1 species